rnacentral:tRNA from 1 species
GUUCUUGUAGUUAAAUAUAUAUAGCGGCGGUUUUUCAGGCCGCAGUUCUCAGAGAGAGACUGGGCAGGAACA